rnacentral:rRNA from 1 species
UACGGGGGGGGCAAGCGUUGUUCGGAAUUACUGGGCGUAAAGGGCUCGUAGGUGGCCAACUAAGUCAGACGUGAAAUCCCUCGGCUUAACCGGGGAACUGCGUCUGAUACUGGAUGGCUUGAGAUUGGGAGAGGGAUGCGGAAUUCCAGGUGUAGCGGUGAAAUGCGUAGAUAUCUGGAGGAACACCAAUAGCGAAGGCAGCUCGCUGGGACGUUACUGACACUGAGGCGCGAAAGCGUGGGGAGCGAACAGG